UGUAUUCGUCUGUUGUGUAAGGUUAUGUCAUUUCAAACGAUGAACCAGAAAAUCUCCCUCAUUUUCAUAGCCCAGUGUCAGGACUUCCAUGUCGCUGAGGCCCCAGAAGGCUCCGUCCAUCAGGCGGCUCAGGCCGUUUCUCUGCAUCUUUAAGGAGCGAAGAGCGUGCAGACCGUGGAACGUCAGGCCCUCCACCCUGCGAACCCGGUUUCUGCUCAGCUCCCUGAAACACACACAAAACACUUACAGAUGCUGGAGGUUGGGCAACUGGAAGAUCUUAGCUGGGAUGGUGGAGAGCCGGUUUCGGUUGAGCCGAAGAACCUGCAGACUGCUGGACAGUGGCGCCUGUAAUAAAAAGCAGGGCUGCGUGUGCUGUUGUGACGCCAUAUUCAACUCUGCAUAUAUCUCACUCAGAUGGCUGAUCAUCUUCACAUGUCGGCUCCCAGUCGGAGUGGAGAGAAGCGGGGAUCAUAUUAACAUGUGAACUGAAGGACCUUCACAUAAAAAUGACAGGGGAGCUUUAGUAAAAUUCGUGAGGUAUCAAUAUGUUUCUGUAUUGCCUCCAAGACCCAUCAAAUUAUGGGUGUAAGAUAAGUUCCUAAAUGCAUUUUGCAUUCUGAUUUUCAAAAAUAUCUUUUAUUUGUUGCUAAGCCCACUACUGUGGUGUUUCUGCACUGCAGUUGCCGGAGAUCACCUGUCAAUCAAACUAUGUGGACGGGACUGUCAUUCUUGUUGAAAUUUUCUAUUGAAAUAUUGUCUAUUAAUUUUAAAUUCCUGUAGCUGACAUCACCUUGCAUUUUGGGAAAUUGUGAAAAGCACGUUUUAAUAGACUAAACAAUAAAUUGAAUAAUCUAAAA